rnacentral:rRNA from 1 species
UACGUAGGGUGCAAGCGUUAAUCGGAAUUACUGGGCGUAAAGCGUGCGCAGGCGGUUUUGCAAGACAGAUGGGAAAUCCCCGGGCUUAACCUGGGAAUUGCAUUUGUGACUGCACGGCUAGAAUCUGGCAGAGGGGGGUAGAAUUCCACGUGUAGCAGUGAAAUGCGUAGAGAUGUGGAGGAAUACCGAUGGCGAAGGCAGCCCCCUGGGCUAAGAUUAACGCUCAUGCACGAAAGCGUGGGGAGCAAACAGG